UACGAAGGGGGCAAGCGUUGUUCGGAUUUACUGGGCGUACAGGGCGCGUAGGCGGUUGGAUAAGUCCUCCGUGAAAUCUCCAGGCUUAACCUGGAAAGUGCAGAGGGGACUGUUCAGCUAGAGGAUGGGAGAGGAGCGCGGAAUUCCCGGUGUAGCGGUGAAAUGCGUAGAGAUCGGGAGGAAGGCCGGUGGCGAAGGCGGCGCUCUGGAACAUUUCUGACGCUGAGGCUCGAAAGCGUGGGGAGCAAACAGG
rnacentral:rRNA from 1 species